rnacentral:rRNA from 1 species
CUAUGCGUACAAGGUGCCCGUAUAUUUUCACCUUGGCCCGUUUAUUUUUAGCUUGCCCUCGGGAGAUCGCGGGGGACGGGUGAGUAUUGUCUGGGAAACUGCCUGAUGGAGGGGGAUAACUACUGGAAACGGUAGCUAAUACCGCAUAACGUCGCAAGACCAAGGUGGGGGACCUUCGGGCCUCAUGCCAUCAGAUGUGCCCAGAUGGGAUUAGCUAGUAGGUGGGGUAACGGCUCACCUAGGCGACGAUCCCUAGCUGGUCUGAGAGGAUGACCAGCCACACUGGAACUGAGACACGGUCCAAACUCCUACGGGAGGCAGCAGUGGGGAAUAUUGCACAAUGGGCGCAAGCCUGAUGCAGCCAUGCCGCGUGUGUGAAGAAGGCCUUCGGGUUGUAAAGCACUUUCAGCGGGGAGGAAGGCGGUGAGGUUAAUAACCUCAUCGAUUGACGUUACCCGCAAAAAAAGCACCGGCUAACUCCGUGCCAGCAGCCGCGGUAAUACGGAGGGUGCAAGCGUUAAUCGGAAUUACUGGGCGUAAAGCGCACGCAGGCGGUCUGUCAAGUCGGAUGUGAAAUCCCCGGGCUCAACCUGGGAACUGCAUUCGAAACUGGCAGGCUAGAGUCUUGUAGAGGGGGGUAGAAUUCCAGGUGUAGCGGUGAAAUGCGUAAAGAUCUGGAGGAAUACCGGUG